CCUACGGGAGGCUGCAGUGGGGAAUAUUGGACAAUGGGGGGAACCCUGAUCCAGCCAUGCCGCGUGUGUGAAGAAGGCCCUCGGGUUGUAAAGCACUUUCAGUGAGGAAGAACGCCUGGUGGUUAAUACCCAUCAGGAAAGACAUCACUCACAGAAGAAGCACCGGCUAACUCCGUGCCAGCAGCCGCGGUAAUACGGAGGGUGCGAGCGUUAAUCGGAAUUACUGGGCGUAAAGCGCGCGUAGGUGGCUUGAUAAGCCGGUUGUGAAAGCCCCGGGCUCAACCUGGGAACGGCAUCCGGAACUGUCAAGGUAGAGUGGAGGAGAGGGAGGUAGAAUUCCCGGUGUAGCGGUGAAAUGCGUAGAGAUCGGGAGGAAUAACCGUGGCGAAGGCGGCCUUCUGGACUGACACUGACACUGAGGUGCGAAAGCGUGGGUAGCAAACAGGAUUAGAUACCCGAGUAGUC
rnacentral:rRNA from 1 species